GUUUUGAUAAAUCUUCCCCAGUGUCCCAAAAAAAGGAAACUAGAGCAGCCUUCACCUAGUGUACAAAAGAGCGUCUAACCCUGGCACAGGUGGUGUCUUGGGGUGGCACAUAUCUACUCGUGCCAGGAGACUUAUAAAGAGGCAUGCUGAUCUCCUGCAGAUCAGGGAGCCUGCCAGACCGCGGAGGUGAAAUUAAGACCAUUCGGUUAUCGUAUUCUACAGUGACCAGGAUAUGAAAAGCUUAUUACAAUCUUAUGUCAGUUUAGGAGACACUAUGGAUCUUCAUGUAGAAGGGUUUGUUGAAUUGUGAUAUGAAUAAAGAUAAAGAAAGGUAUCAGAGAUGGCCUAUUCCUCCAGACGAUACUAUCUUUAUAUAGAACAAGGUGAAUAUGAAAAUAUAAAAUAUAGAAAUGGUAGGAUAACUAGAAAAGCCUUCAUUGCCUCUCA